rfam:Streptomyces sp. NRRL WC-3618 P435contig118.1, whole genome shotgun sequence.
AGAUGAGAGAUACACCCCGCCCGCAGGGAACUGCGGACGGCACCUGGUCGGGGCCUCCCCAGCUUCGAUCCGGUAGUGCCCUCGCGCACACUGCCGGAGCCUCUGGCUCCGGGUCUCCUCACCGAUCGGA